GGAUGAACGCUGGCGGCGUGCCUAAUACAUGCAAGUCGAGCGAACGGACGAGAAGCUUGCUUCUCUGAUGUUAGCGGCGGACGGGUGAGUAACACGUGGAUAACCUACCUAUAAGACUGGGAUAACUUCGGGAAACCGUAGCUAAUACCGGAUAAUAUUUUGAACCGCAUGGUUCAAAAGUGAAAGACGGUCUUGCUGUCACUUAUAGAUGGAUCCGCGCUGCAUUAGCUAGUUGGUAAGGUAACGGCUUACCAAGGCAACGAUGCAUAGCCGACCUGAGAGGGUGAUCGGCCACACUGGAACUGAGACACGGUCCAGACUCCUACGGGAGGCAGCAGUAGGGAAUCUUCCGCAAAGGGCGAAAGCCUGACGGAGCAACGCCGCGUGAGUGAUGAAGGUCUUCGGAUCGUAAAACUCUGUUAUUAGGGAAGAACAUAUGUGUAAGUAACUGUGCACAUCUUGACGGUACCUAAUCAGAAAGCCACGGCUAACUACGUG
rnacentral:rRNA from 1 species